rnacentral:pre_miRNA from 1 species
AAUAAACGAGUUUCUGUGUUUUUGGAUAGAAUUUUUGACUCUUUGUUUUAUUUAAAUUUUUUUUAUGAUUAAUAUUUUUAUUGUUACUACAUGAUAAAGCAUAAAUAGUAUUUACGUGUGACUAAUUUUUUUUUAACUUUUUAUUCAAUCUUUUUAAAUAAGACGGAUGGUUAAACGCUUGAACUACCGAACCCAGGAAUGCUCUUUUU